GCCGGGGUGGCGAAAUGGCAGACGCAGCGCACUCAAAAUGCGCCGGGGAGACCCGUGCGGGUUCGAAUCCCGCUCCCGGUACCA
rnacentral:tRNA from 1 species